AAGUCGAGGGGCAGCAUGAACUUAGCUUGCUAAUAAUUCUCUAGUGGCGCACGGGUGAGUAACACGUAUCCAACCUGCCCUUUACUCGGGGAUAGCCUUGCGAAAGUAAGAUUAAUACCCGAUGGCAUUGGAUUCCCGCAUGGGGCUUCAAUUAAAGGUGUGAACUGGUAAAGGAUGGGGAUGCGUUCCAUUAGGCAGUAGGCGGGGUAACGGCCCACCUAACCGACGAUGGAUAGGGGUUCUGAGAGGAAGGUCCCCACAUUGGAACUGAGACACGGUCCAAACUCC
rnacentral:rRNA from 1 species